AUGUCCAAAAAAAAAAAGAUGACCUCCUUCUCCUUUUAUUAUCCUCUUAUACCCAUUGAAACCUCCAAUGGAGUUAGGCAGUGAAAGGAAAACUUAAGCCCGAAUCUCCUCUUCAUCUCUCACUUCGUCUCGACACUCGGCAGAAAUGAGAAACAAAAAUUGGGAUUUUGAAGGAUUAUUGUCAAAGCUCGGUUUUUACCUUGUCUAAGUUGAGAAUUGGAAGAGAUGUUGAUGGUCGUGGUGGUGGUGAUGAUAAAGAAGAUGGAUGGAGAGUCUAACUGAAUUUUUACUAAAUAUAACUUGGGAAGCUGAUCAAGCUUCGCUCAAUUUGAGAUAAAUAUGAACCACUUGGAGAUUGAAGAUCAUAGAUUGGAGAUCGAUGAUUUGAAGAUUUGCUUGUGGUAACAACAUUAAAUAUGCUCAAGAUAUGUGAACAAAGUGCAUGAUGAGUUCAAGGCCACAAGAAGCAAAGAAGAAUAUGUGAUCAAAUAGUAAAGUUGUGUUUUUACAUUUUCUGUACUUAGAUUUUUGUACAAGCCUUGAUCACUCACAACACAUAUACACACAUAGUAUUUAGAUUAUUUGUACAAGCCUUGAUCAUUCACAACACAUAUACACACAUAGUAUUUAAAACACACUAACAUAUGCUUAGUGUGUGGUUAACUAUAGAAAUCCUCUAAGUUAACCAUUAGAGUUUAUAAAAAAAGGAUGAGUCUCAAAAUACAUCAUAUAUCUCAUAUUUACCUCUUAGUAGUCGAUUAAAACACUUAGUAGUCGACUAAUCAAGCUUUGGUCAAAAUAUCAGAAUCUGUGAUUUUACAGUGUAGCCGACUACUAGGCAUUAUAGUCGACUACUCAAUGUUAGUCUAGAAUUUUAGAAACUACACAUAUACAGUGUAGUCGACUACUCCUCUUAGUAGUCGACUACUAAGUAGUUUUCUGACUUCACAAAGUCAGUUUAGACUCAGUGUAGUCGACUAAUCCUCCUUAUAGUCGACUACAGAUACAGUUUUCUAGUUUUUUAGAAUUUGAAUAAAUAACUGUUUUAUAGCCGUUUUUGGACGCUAAUUGGGUUUCAAAACAUGUCAUUUCAGAGGCUAUAAACAAGUUUAAACAUCAGAAAACAAGAACAUUGAUUCAUAUCCAUAAGAUUCAACUUUUGUAAAAAUUCAAGUGUUCUUCAUUCAAAAUUUUAGUCUAACUAUUGAGUAAAGAAAAGUUCUGAAAGUUUCUUUGUUUCCAUCAUUUUAAAAGAUUAUUUAGGCAUAAAUCAAAGAGUGAAAAAGUUCCCAAACCACUGCUGCACAUCACCAACACUUCAAGGCUUAUAGGAAUUUGUGUUCUUUCUACAAAGAAGGUUUCUUCGGGUGUGAGAGAAGAUCUCUUGAUUAGAGAUUGUUGCAAUUUGCAGGGACUUACAAAUUGGUCAGAUUCUACAUCAUUUUCUAUAAGAUUCAACCUUGA